GUCCACGCCCUAAACGAUGGAUACUAAUCAGAAGAACCUGCAAGGGUUUUUUUGACGUAGCGAAAGCGUUAAGUAUCCCGCCUGGGGAGUAUGGUCGCAAGGCUGAAACUCAAAGGAAUUGACGGGGGCUCACACAAGCGGUGGAGCAUGUUGCUUAAUUCGAUGCAACGCGAAGAACCUUACCCGGGCUCGAAAUGUACGGAUUAGCUCCGUGAAAGCGGAGUGACACCUUAACCGGUGGAACGUAUAUAGGUGUUGCAUGGCUGUCGU
rnacentral:rRNA from 1 species